rnacentral:sRNA from 1 species
ACAAGGGAAGGAGGUGGUCCAAGGAAAUGAUUGAUUCCCGGACUCUUGAGGUGGUUGCGCGCUGACGUCGCGCACCGACCGGACGGCAGCUGCCGAUCGCGUGUCACCCCCGCGGGGGUGACGUCGGCGAAUCCCACGCAGUCACCGGAACCCGCGGGCGUCGUGCCCUCGUCCAGCACGACAGGUGGACCCCCACCGGCCCGCGGGUUCUUGCGU